rnacentral:lncRNA from 1 species
CUUAAGUUCGCUUUUCAGAAUGUAAGAAGUCAGGAGUAAACUGAACCUGGGGCUUUUAAGUGUUAGAGAAGAAAUGGCUCUGCUGUCCCCAAAUCUGCCCAAAUCUGGGUUCUGAUAAACCCAGAAUCCUCAGGGAGAUGAGGUGUUAAGACAGGAAAAUCUCCACAUUUUCUCAGAAUAGCUCACUGAGAACCUUGGAAGAUGGGACAGAAGAGGACAGCCCAAAUUCAGGUGGAGGUGUGUUUUGGGGUUUGACACAUCAUAGCUGAACUUGGGGACACCAGAAAGGGAAUAAGGAGCAUGCACAGGUUUGGGGGAUUCCCCUAGACUGCCGGAGCCCUUGGUGUGCAUGUUCCCUGUUCCCCCCAUUGUCCCAC